UACGUAGGGGGCAAGCGUUGUCCGGAAUUAUUGGGCGUAAAGAGCGCGUAGGCGGUCCGGUAAGUCGGCUGUGAAAGUCAAGGGCUCAACCCUUGAAAGCCGGCCGAUACUGUCGGACUAGAGUCCGGAAGAGGCGAGUGGAAUUCCCGGUGUAGCGGUGAAAUGCGCAGAUAUCGGGAGGAACACCAAGGCGAAGGCAG
rnacentral:rRNA from 1 species